GACGAACGCUGGCGGCGUGCCUAAUACAUGCAAGUAGAACGCUGAAGGAGGAGCUUGCUUCUCUGGAUGAGUUGCGAACGGGUGAGUAACGCGUAGGUAACCUGCCUGGUAGCGGGGGAUAACUAUUGGAAACGAUAGCUAAUACCGCAUAAUAGUAGAUGUCGCAUGACAUUUGCUUAAAAGGUGCAAUUGCAUCACUACCAGAUGGACCUGCGUUGUAUUAGCUAGUUGGUGAGGUAACGGCUCACCAAGGCAACGAUACAUAGCCGACCUGAGAGGGUGAUCGGCCACACUGGGACUGAGACACGGCCCAGACUCCUCGGGGGGGCAGCAGUGGGGAAUCUUCGGCAAUGGAGGGAAGUCUGACCGGGCAACGCCGCGUGAGUGAAGAAGGUUUUCGGAUCGUAAAGCUCUGUUGUAAGAGAAAAACGAGUGUGAGAGGGGAAAGUUCACACUGGGGCGGUAUUUUACCAGAAAGGGACGGCUAACUACGU
rnacentral:rRNA from 1 species